rnacentral:tRNA from 1 species
GAGGAAAAUCCGGGACUUUG